rnacentral:rRNA from 1 species
GAUGAACGCUGGCGGCGUGCCUAAUACAUGCAAGUCGAGCGAACGGACGAGAAGCUUGCUUCUCUGAUGUUAGCGGCGGACGGGUGAGUAACACGUGGAUAACCUACCUAUAAGACUGGGAUAACUUCGGGAAACCGGAGCUAAUACCGGAUAAUAUUUUGAACCGCAUGGUUCAAAAGUGAAAGACGGUCUUGCUGUCACUUAUAGAUGGAUCCGCGCUGCAUUAGCUAGUUGGUAAGGUAACGGCUUACCAAGGCAACGAUGCAUAGCCGACCUGAGAGGGUGAUCGGCCACACUGGAACUGAGACACGGUCCAGACUCCUACGGGAGGCAGCAGUAGGGAAUCUUCCGCAAUGGGCGAAAGCCUGACGGAGCAACGCCGCGUGAGUGAUGAAGGUCUUCGGAUCGUAAAACUCUGUUAUUAGGGAAGAACAUAUGUGUAAGUAACUGUGCACAUCUUGACGGUACCUAAUCAGAAAGCCACGGCUAACUACGUGCCAGCAGCCGCGGGUAUACGUAGGUGGCAAGCGUUAUCCGGAAUUAUUGGGCGUAAAGCGCGCGUAGGCGGUUUUUUAGUCUGAUGUGAAAGCCCACGGCUCAACCGUGGAGGGUCAUUGGAAACUGGAAAACUUGAGUGCAGAAGAGGAAAGUGGAAUUCCAUGUGUAGCGGUGAAAUGCGCAGAGAUAUGGAGGAACACCAGUGGCGAAGGCGACUUUCUGGUCUGUAACUGACGCUGAUGUGCGAAAGCGUGGGGAUCAAACAGGAUUAGAUACCCUGGUAGUCCACGCCGUAAACGAUGAGUGCUAAGUGUUAGGGGGUUUCCGCCCCUUAGUGCUGCAGCUAACGCAUUAAGCACUCCGCCUGGGGAGUACGACCGCAAGGUUGAAACUCAAAGGAAUUGACGGGGACCCGCACAAGCGGUGGAGCAUGUGGUUUAAUUCGAAGCAACGCGAAGAACCUUACCAAAUCUUGACAUCCUUUGACAACUCUAGAGAUAGAGCCUUCCCCUUCGGGGGACAAAGUGACAGGUGGUGCAUGGUUGUCGUCAGCUCGUGUCGUGAGAUGUUGGGUUAAGUCCCGCAACGAGCGCAACCCUUAAGCUUAGUUGCCAUCAUUAAGUUGGGCACUCUAAGUUGACUGCCGGUGACAAACCGGAGGAAGGUGGGGAUGACGUCAAAUCAUCAUGCCCCUUAUGAUUUGGGCUACACACGUGCUACAAUGGACAAUACAAAGGGCAGCGAAACCGCGAGGUCAAGCAAAUCCCAUAAAGUUGUUCUCAGUUCGGAUUGUAGUCUGCAACUCGACUACAUGAAGCUGGAAUCGCUAGUAAUCGUAGAUCAGCAUGCUACGGUGAAUACGUUCCCGGGUCU